rnacentral:misc_RNA from 1 species
AAGUCGUAACAAGGUUUCCGUAGGUGAACCUGCGGAAGGAUCAUUACCGAGUGUAGGGUUCCUAGCGAGCCCAACCUCCCACCCGUGUUUACUGUACCUUAGUUGCUUCGGCGGGCCCGCCAUUCGUGGCCGCCGGGGGCUCUCAGCCCCGGGCCCGCGCCCGCCGGAGACACCACGAACUCUGUCUGAUCUAGUGAAGUCUGAGUUGAUUGUAUCGCAAUCAGUUAAAACUUUCAACAAUGGAUCUCUUGGUUCCG